rnacentral:rRNA from 1 species
GACGAACGCUGGCGGCGUGCUUAACACAUGCAAGUGGAGCGACGAACCAGGGCUUGCCCUGGGGCAAAGCCGCGAACGGGUGAGUAACACGUGGGCAACCUGCCCCGAAGACCGGGACAACCCGAGGAAACUCGAGCUAAUACCGGAUGUGGUCACUCUUCAUAAGUGGAGUGAGCAAAGGGAGCUUCGGCCCCCGCUUUGGGAUGGGCCCGCGGCCCAUUAGCUUGUUGGUGAGGUAACGGCUCACCAAGGCGACGAUGGGUAGCUGGUCUGAGAGGACGAUCGGCCACACUGGGACUGAGACACGGCCCAGACCCCGACGGGAGGCAGCAGUGGGGAAUCUUGCGCAAUGCGCGAAAGCGUGACGCAGCAACGCCGCGUGGGGGAAGAAGGCCUUCGGGUUGUAAACCCCUUUCAGGAGGGACGAAGCUCCGGGAGUGAAUAGCUUUCCGGAGUGACGGUACCUCCAUAAGAAGCCCCGGCUAACUACGUGCCAGCAGCCGCCGUAAUAC